GACAGACUGCGGCACGCCAGCGAUGGUGAUGGCCCGCUCGGUGGAGUUGGGCAGCAUAUCCCCCGCCACCUGGACCUGCGCCCCCGUACUCUCGCGGAUCUCUUUGAUCUUACACCCGCCUUUCCCAAUCAGGGAGCCGCACUGGGUGGCCGGCACCACCAGCCUCAGGGUGACCGGGGGCCUGCUGGCCGCGGUACUGUUGGUCAUGGAGCUGUUGAUAUCUUCCUCCAGCUUGUCGAUGAUCAUAGCGAAAGCCUUAAAGAUGGCAUUGGUGGGGCCGGUCAGAGUGAUGAUUCUCUCCGGACAAUUCCCCUCCGAGAUGUUGAUCCGCGCGCCACUCUCCUCGCGGAUCCUCUUAACCGACUCCCCUUUCUUCCCAAUGAUGCUUCCUACUUCCUUUCCGUGCAUAAGAAGCCGAAUGAGGAAGACAAACAUAAAGAUGAAGUGCUUAAUUCAAGGUCACACAAUGUCGGGGAUGGACCUCCAGAUUUCCUUACUGACCUGCAUUAUCUUGUGGAUACCUGAGUGAAUUCCACACCACCCAUUUUAUAGAUGAAACCACUGAGACAUGGAGCAAUUGACUGAGUAGUCACUGCCCCACCCCUGCCUGGAGCCUCACACAUGACUCGCCUCCUCUCAGUGACCACAGGUGAGACGUGGUCUUGUAACACAGUGGUUAAGAAUGUGACUUUGGAGCCAGCCUGCUAGGGGCUGAAUUCUGACUCAGCCAUUUACUAACUGUGUGACCUUAGGUAAGUCAUUUACCUUCUUUGUCCCUCAGUUUCAUCUCGGUUAAGUAGGGAUAAUGAUAGCACCUAUUUUAUAGGGUUAUUGUGAGGAAUAAAUCCAAGUAAAAUGCUUAGAAUAGUAACUGAAACAUAGCACUCAUUAGGAAUGCUUUAAUUUUCAUUUAUUUGAGUAUUAAAGGUUGAAUUUUCAGAGGUAUUUUGGACCUUUGUAUUUUUUCUUUAAAUCACUUAUUCAUGACUUUUGAACUUUUUUUUUUCUUUUAGAGACAGGGUCUUGGUUUGUUGUCUAGGCUGGAAUGCAGUGGUGCAAUCAUAGCUCACUGUAGCCUUGAACUCUUGGGCUCAAGAGAUCCUCCUGCCUCAGCCUCGUGAGUAGCUGGGCCUACAGGCGCCUGCUACCACACCUGGCUAAUUUUUUAUUUUUUGUAGAGAUGGGUUCUUGCAGCCCAGACUGGUCUUGAGCUUUGGCCUGAAGUGCUCCUCCUGCCUUGGCCUCUCAAAGCAUUGGGGUUACAGGUGUGAAGCACUGCACCUUGCCUACACAUUUUUUCCAAUAAUUUUUUUUAUUAAUUUGUAAGAGUUAACAUGUCGACUAUCAUAUAUAACAUAGAAUUGUUCCCAUUUUGUCAUUUCCUUUCAACUUUGUCUAUGUAGCUUUUUUUCUGUGUGCAAAUUUUACAUUUUUAGGUAGUCAGAAAAUCUCUUCCCUUGUAAUUUUUUCUGCUACUAGACCAAUGUUUAGAAAAAAGCGUGCUUCCCCACCUCAAAAUUAUAAAAAUAGUUACUUGUUCUUUUUGAGUACUGUGUGUGUUUAAAUCUUUAAUCUUUAAAUUUAAAUCUUUGAUCCAUCUGGUAUUUAUUUUGAUAUGAAGAGAGUGGUUGGGAUCUGGCUGUAUUUCUUUUUUCUUUUUUUUUCUUUUUUCUUUUUUUGACGAAGUCUCACUGUUGCUCAGGCUGGAGUGCAAUGGCAUGAUCUCGGCUCAUCACAACCUCUGCUUCCUGGGUUCAAGCGAUUCUCCUGCCUCAGCCUCCCGAGUACCUGGGACUACAGGCACUCGCCACCAUGCCCGGCUGAUUUUUGUAUUUUUAAUAGAGAUGGUUUCACUAUGUUGGCCAGGCUGGUCUCGAACUCCUGACCUUGUGAUCUGCCCACCUCAGCCUCGAAAAGUGCUGGGAUUACAGGCGUGAGCCACUGCGCCCAGCCUUGUAUUUUUUUUCAGUUUGGGUAGCUGUCCCUAAUUCAUUUGUUAAAGGAGAAGCAAGAGCAAGAACCUUUAAUCUGUUCUCCUCUUCCCUAAUUUGAAAGUAGCUUGUUAUUUUGAAUAUCACUUUCUCUGAAAUAGCACAUCUCCAUCUCAGAGAAUGGAUUUAAUGUUUGGAUACAGCCAAAAGUCAUUUCAUUACCAAACCAUGGGGUGAAUAUACCAUGUAAAGCAGUUUGGGAUCAGAACUCACAGUCUGAAUUGUAAGUGAUGAGACUGCUGUCUCUCUGCUACAGCUUCUUGGCUGGCUCUGAAGGCUCUUUGAAGGCAGAUCCUAACAAGGGGACUGCUUUGAAGGGCCAUUGUUCAUUUGGAAUGAUAAAGUCUAUGUUGUUCAAAAAACAAAUGCUUGUAGCAGGUAUUUUUUCACUCCAGACUGAGAAUAUUGGUGGGAUAUUGAUAAGGGGUACUGAAUGGUAAUAAACAUGUGCUCUAGCUCUGUGCUAGUCAGCUUAUUUCAGAACUCUAGUUUGAUUCAGUUUCUUGCCUCUGACUCAAAAUGGAGGGAGAGUGAUUUUUACAUAAGAGAACACACCCACAUAUCCUUUUGGCAGCAGCUACCUGCCAGAGAUGUUGAAGAAGAGUAGCCAACCUUUACACAGCAGAUAUUGUGUGCCAGUCAUAGUCCUAAGUAUAAUACCUUACAUGUAUAAACUUCUUAUAAGGUUGGUGCUCUGUACCGAAUUGAAUAGUAUCCCCCAAAAUUCAUGUUGUCCCAGAACCUAUGAAAGUGAUCUUACUUGAGGGAGGGGGGAGGGGGGAGGGAUAGCAUUAGGAGAUAUACCUAAUGCUAAAUGACGAGUUAAUGGGUGUAGCACACCAGCAUGGCACAUGUAUACAUAUGUAACUAACCUGCACAUUGUGCACAUGUACCCUAAAACUUAAAGUAUAAUAAUAAUAAAAUAAAAAAAAAAAAGAAAGUGAUCUUACUUGGAAAUAAGGUCUUUGCACAUAUGAUCAAGUUGAGAUGAAGUUGUACUGGAAAGUCUGUCUAGUGACUGGUGUUGUCAUAAGAAGAGAGGGACACAGAGGGAAGAUGGCCACAUGAAGAUGGAGGCAGAGAUUGCAGUUAUGCUGCUGCAAACUAAGGAAUGGCUCUGGCCCUCCAAGGAUUGCUGAUAACCACCAGAAACUAGAAGAGACAAGGAAGGAUUCUUCCCUAGAGCCUUCAGAGGGAGCAUGGCCCUACUGACACCUGGAUUUCAAACUUGUAGCUUCCUAAACUGCAAGAGAAUAAAUUUCUGUUGUUUUAAGCCA
rnacentral:lncRNA from 1 species